GACGGUUCGCCCCGAUAAUCGGGGAUUACUGGGCGUAACGCACGCAGGCGGUUUGUUAAGUCAGAUGUGAAAUUUCAAGGCUCAACCUGGGAACUGCAUCUGAUACUGGCAAGCUUGAGUCUCGUAGAGGGGGGUAGAAUUCCAGGUGUAGCGGUGAAAUGCGUAGAGAUCUGGAGGAAUACCGGUGGCGAAGGCGGCCCCCUGGACGAAGACUGACGCUCAGGUGCGAAAGCGUGGGGAGCAAACAGGAUUAGAUACCCUGGUAGUCCACGCCGUAAACGAUGUCGACUUGGAGGUUGUGCCCUUGAGGCGUGGCUUCCGGAGCUAACGCGUUAAGUCGACCGCCUGGGGAGUACGGCCGCAAGGUUAAAACUCAAAUGAAUUGACGGGGGCCCGCACAAGCGGUGGAGCAUGUGGUUUAAUUCGAUGCAACGCGAAGAACCUUACCUGGUCUUGACAUCCACGGAAGUUUUCAGAGAUGAGAAUGUGCCUUCGGGAACCGUGAGACAGGUGCUGCAUGGCUGUCGUCACCUCGUGUUGUGAAAUGUU
rnacentral:rRNA from 1 species